AUGGCGGCGGUUCGAUGCGCGGCGAGGAGGCUCGGCGGCUCCCUGUUCCAGCGAGCGCAGGCGGAGGAGGGACGCCGGCUCGUGCCAAGCAGGCUCAUGCGCUCCCGCCACCUCUCCAACUCCACCGAGCAAGCUUCAAAGAUCAAGCAGAAGGAGGAGGAGCUGUAUGAUGCGAUAUCCAAAGCAGAGCAGAAGAAGAAGGAGCUGUUUGAUGCGAUUUAUAACGCGGGGAAGAUUUCCACCACUACUGGCCAGCAUCUUUCUGUACAAGCCACUCAAGGAGCAGAUGACCCUCUGCGCUGGAUGCGGUACGCAAUGAGAGCUCGGGGUGUGUUCGAGUUAGCUGCCAAGAUGACAUUAACAUUUAUGGCCUUUGCUUUUGCGUUUGGUUCCAAAGCCAACAAGGUGGUAGAAGCCAAGGAAGACCAGUGA
rnacentral:rRNA from 1 species